UUUCAUUUCGUAAUGCAAACGCUUCCGUAUAAGAAGGAAUGUAAUUAUUAAUUGACGAUUUCUUUUUUUGCGAUAUAUUCAUUUUAUUGUAACUUAAAAGUUGAAACUGUUGAACAAGGAAACGAUACUUUAGGUUUACCAUUAUUUUCCGAUUCUGGUUUACUUGCUCUAUUUGAUCUAAGAACUGCGCCUGGACUCGGAUACGGUCUCAUUUGAUAAAGUGGCCCCGAAGCUGUGGUAUCUGCACCUGUCUUAGCUUCAUUAUGUCUAGCUAAUCCAUCUGACCAUUUUCCUCUAUAAAACAUAAAAAAAGAAAAAUUACAUUUGCCACAAAAAAUGAAAACAAUACAGUAUUAAAGUAUAUAAUAGAUAUAUUUUUUAUACCUUGGAAUGUCACUGUAGGAUGCUGGAUCCAUAGGAUCCAAAGUACGAUCCUUUUUGUCUUUGUUUUCAGGUUUAUCUAAUCUUUGAUGUCUUUUAUUGUCUGCACCUUUAUAUUUACCUCUAUUUUCUAUUUUACGUUCUCUUUUCGGUUCAGUUUCAUCUACCUAUGUAUAGAAUAAGUAUAAAAUUUAUGAUAAAUACACGCAUAUGCAUAUGCUAUAGCAUAUUAAGAUAUUAUAGAAUUAGAAACACAAAUAUUUACUUCCAUGGGUUCUUGUUCACUUCCACUUUCAUCACUUGACAUAUUAUCAUCUUGAUCGGCUGCUUUAAGAUGUAAUUCUUCCCGUAACUGAGAUGCUGGUUGAGAUAUUUGACAUUUAGGAUGACCAGGUGGUAACCAAGCGACUAAAUCGGAUGACCAAUCCCAAUAAUAAUGUUGGCCUCUAUAUUUUUAUGUUAAUUAUAUAUUACGAAUUAAUCAU